AUUGAAGCUAAGGCUGUGAACAAAUUCUGAACUCCAUGCUGCCUGAUGAAUCCUGUUUUGUUUCAGGUUGUUUCUUUCUGUAUCCUCUUCUCAAGUUUUAGUAUUGCCUUUAUAACAGAUUAUAAUAUGUUUUGUUGAUUAAAUUGUGUUCUAUUUAGUAAAAGGACUUGAUAGUCAAAAAUAUGUUUAAGAAUGCGAGAUAAAGUACUGAAGAGUCAUAAACAUUAAGGCACUCCCCCUGUGGGCUACUUCUCUUGUAUUAUUAGGUUCAUUGAUGUAAAGAGUUUCUUGUGCUCUUAAACAUAGCUAGAGAAAAAACUCAAUAAAUGUGCAUUUCAGACAAAAUAUGAAAACCAGCUGUCUUAAAGGAAACCUAAUUUUCAAGGAAGGAUAUGCUUCCAAUUUUUUUUUUUUUAAUUAUUAUUGUUAUUUUCCCCCAAAGACAGUGACUGCUUACUAAUCACUGUAAACCUUACAGCUGGGGCAAUAGAAGACUCUUGGGGAAAGAUUGUGCUAUUCAAAUCCUUCCAUGGUUCCUCUUCUGAAGAACUCACAGAACUUCAGCUGCUCGGUGCCUUUCCUGCAGCUUUUAAAUCAGCUCUCCUCUUGGAAGCAAGACAAGAUCGCUCAUCUCUGUGCUGGUGAUUGCUCUGGAGAUAUUGUAGUCCCACUCUUAAAAUAUGAAAUUUAUUUGAUUAUAAAGGAUAUUAUUAUAUAUGCACACCUAUGUAGAUAUAUGCUAGGUAAACAUUCCUUUUCCCUGCUUGAGAGAAUUUAAUAAUUACCAGAUGAGAAUGAUAACCAUGCGUUUUUUUCAUUAUUAACAUUCAAAUAGUGUAGCUCUGAUUUAAUGUUCUAAGAUAUCUUUUUGUUCUUUGCCUUUUUCUAGGCUGACAAUACAAAGUAAAAUCACUUCUUAAAUCUUAAAGCCUUGUGAAUCUUAAUUUUAACUGUCUUCCAUAGUUCUGAGAGGGAGGGAAUGAGCAUCUCAUUUUACUGAGGCUUUUUUGUUGACUCUUAAAACAGAAGAUAGAAGCUUGCUACAGCGUUACCCAGAUGUAUUUAGCUUUGACUUGUGAGUUCAAACCCAGCAUACUUUAUAAUAAAAUAAAAAUAUAAGUAAGAUAAAAU
rnacentral:lncRNA from 1 species